UUUAAACAUUGGUUCUCGUACGAUCACCGCAGUUAAGCAACGUCGAGCUUGGUAAGUACCUAAAUGGGUGACCGCUUAGGAAUACCAGGUGCUGUAAG